CACGCAGUACAUCAAGAGAUCAAGAACCGUUUAUGUAGACCCGAUUUUUUUUUUUUUAUUAAAACGAAAUUAUUGAAAUACAUGUAUAAUAAAUGAUAUUACCAAUAUGCCAAAACCAAUCCCAAAGUAGCUAUAUGUGUCAUAUCAUAGCUUUACCAGUAAAGCUAUGGCAAUAUUUGUCCAUAUAAUCUGCACCUUUCAAAUAUAUCAGCAAACUAAAAGCAAAUAUAACUAUUUACCAUACAUUUUUAGCUGUCUUAAAUAUCUUUCUUUAUAAUAUCUUUGCAUACAUAUUCAAAGUUUCAUAUGCCCAAUAUAUUUACACAUACAUUUCUAGCUGUCUGAAAUAUCUUUCUUUAUCAUUUCUUUGCAUAUGUAUUCAAAGUU
rnacentral:lncRNA from 1 species